rnacentral:rRNA from 1 species
AUCUAUGGCCAUGCUACCUUGAACAAUACGAUCCCAUCUGAUCUCAAAAGGUAAGCAGGGUCGGGCCUGGUUAGUACUGGGAUAGGGAGACCACCCAGGAAGACCAGAUGCUGUAGGCG